CGGGAGGCAGCAGUGGGGAGUCUUAGACAAUGGGGGCAACCCUGAUCUAGCCAUGCCGCGUGAGUGAUGAAGGCCUUAGGGUCGUAAAGCUCUUUCGCCUGUGAUGAUAAUGACAGUAGCAGGUAAAGAAACCCCGGCUAACUCCGUGCCAGCAGCCGCGGUAAUACGGAGGGGGUUAGCGUUGUUCGGAAUUACUGGGCGUAAAGCGCGCGUAGGCGGAUUAGAAAGUUGGGGGUGAAAUCCCGGGGCUCAACCCCGGAACUGCCUCCAAAACUGCUAGUCUAGAGUUCGAGAGAGGUGAGUGGAAUUCCGAGUGUAGAGGUGAAAUUCGUAGAUAUUCGGAGGAACACCAGUGGCGAAGGCGGCUCACUGGCUCGAUACUGACGCUGAGGUGCGAAAGUGUGGGGAGCAAACAGGAUUAGAUACCCUGGUAGUCCACACCGUAAACGAUGAAUGCCAGUCGUCGGGUAGUAUACUAUUCGGUGACACACCUAACGGAUUAAGCAUUCCGCCUGGGGAGUACGGUCGCAAGAUUAAAACUCAAAGGAAUUG
rnacentral:rRNA from 1 species